GUAGGUGGCAAGCGUUGUCCGGAAUUAUUGGGCGUAAAGCGCGCGCAGGCGGUCCUUUAAGUCUGAUGUGAAAGCCCACGGCUCAACCGUGGAGGGUCAUUGGAAACUGGGGGACUUGAGUACAGAAGAGGAAAGCGGAAUUCCAAGUGUAGCGGUGAAAUGCGUAGAGAUUUGGAGGAACACCAGUGGCGAAGGCGGCUUUCUGGUCUGUAACUGACGCUGAGGCGCGAAAGCGUGGGGAGCAAACAGGGAUUAGAUACCCUGGUAGUCCACGCCGUAAACGAUGAGUGCUAAGUGUUAGGGGAUUUCCGCCCCCUUAGUGCUGCAGCUAACGCAUUAAGCACUCCGCCUGGGGAUACGGCCGCAAGGCUG
rnacentral:rRNA from 1 species